GGGUCAGUAGGUUGGUCGUGCCACCGGUACGUACUGGUCACACUGAUUCCUCCUUCCUGAAGAACCGUAAUGCCAUUAAUUUGGUGGUGCGGGGAAACAGGACUGUUACUUUGAAAAAAUUAGAGUGUUUAAAGCAAGCUAACGCUUGAAUACAUUAGCAUGGAAUAAUGAAAUAGGACGAUCGAUCCUAUUUUGUUGGUUUCUAGGAUUGACGUA
rnacentral:rRNA from 1 species